rnacentral:rRNA from 1 species
UACGUAGGUGGCAAGCGUUAUCCGGAAUUACUGGGCGUAAAGGGCGCGUAGGCGGCCUUCUAAGUCGAACGUGAAAUCCCCGGGCUCAACCCGGGAACUGCGUCCGAUACUGGAAGGCUUGAAUCCGGGAGAGGGAUGUGGAAUUCCAGGUGUAGCGGUGAAAUGCGUAGAUAUCUGGAGGAACACCGGUGGCGAAGGCGACAUCCUGGACCGGUAUUGACGCUGAGGCGCGAAAGCCAGGGGAGCAAACGGG